CCUACGGGCGGCAGCAGUGAGGAAUAUUGGUCAAUGGGCUUACGCCUGAACCAGCCAAGUCGCGUGAGGGAAGACUGCCCUAUGGGUUGUAAACCUCUUUUGUCAGGGAGCAACGCCGGCCACGUGUAGCCGGACUGAGAGUACCUGAAGAAAAAGCAUCGGCUAACUCCGUGCCAGCAGCCGCGGUAAUACGGAGGAUGCGAGCGUUUUCCGGAUUUAUUGGGUUUAAAGGGUGCGUAGGCGGAAUGCCAAGUCAGCGGUAAAAUCGCGGGGCGAAACCUAGCUGCGCCGUUGAAACUGGCGGUCGUGAGUGGGCGAGAAGAAUGCGGAAUGCGUGGUGUAGCGGUGAAAUGCAUAGAUAUCACGAAGAACUCCGAGUGCGAAGGCAG
rnacentral:rRNA from 1 species